GGCCGGACAUGGCCCCGCGCGGCCGCCCCGCCGCCGCCGCCGCCAUGCCCCGCAGGGCCGCCCGAAAGCGCCUCAAGUUCCGCGCCGACGACGUGUGCUCCGAGAGAGUGACAGUGGCAGAUUAUGCCAACUCGGACCCGGCUGUGGUGAAGUCUGGACGGGUGAAGAAGGCUGUGGCCAACGCGGUGCAGCAGGAGGUAAAAUCCCUGUGUGGUUUGGAAGCUUCCUGCGUUCCCGCUGAGGAAGUUCUCUCCGUGUCGGGAGAGUCCUGCGACAGCAGCGAUGAGAUGGACACAAAGGAGAGCAUCAACGGGCGGGCUGCCUCGAGGAAAAAGAAGAGCAAAAGGCACAAAGAAAGCGCUGAUGGGGGAGGUGGAGAGGAGUAUCCCAUCGACAUCUGGCUGCUCUUGGCUUCCUACAUUCGCCCGGAGGACAUUGUCAGGUUUUCUCUGAUUUGCAAGAAAGCCUGGACUGUGACUUGCACUGCUGCCUUUUGGACCAGGCUCUACAGAAGGCACUACAGUCUGGACGCGUACCUGCCACUGCGCCUGCGCCCCGAGUCCAUGGAGAAGCUGCACUGCCUGCGGGCCUGCGUCAUCCGCUCGCUGUACCACAUGUACGAGCCCUUCGCCUCCCGCGUCUCCAGGAACCCCGCGAUUCCAGACAGUACUCCCAGCACUUUAAAAAAUUCCAGAAGCAACCUCGUCUGUCCCUGUGUGACAUCCUCCCUUUCUUCCUUCCUUCCUCUCCCUGGUGGGGACUGGAAAGGCUGUCCCAGGCUUAGGGAGCAUCCAGCAGCACACAGCCUAGCUUGUGUGGGACACUGGAGCCGUUAUGGUGUCAGCAGAGGUGUUUGCCCUUUAAAGACACCCCCUAAUUUUUGGCGGAGCACGGCGCGUCUGAAGGGCAGGACGGCUGACCCGAGGACAUCCUCUGCCCCUUAGGAGUGUCUGCUUUUCUGGUGCAAAAAGAUUGUAGGGAACAGACAAGAAGCAAUGUGGGAAUUCAACUUCAAGUUCAAAAAGCAGUCCCCCAGAUUGAAGAGCAAGUGUUGCAAAGGUCUCCAGCCCCCCAUCCAGUACGAGGAGGUGCACACGAACCCGGAUCAGGAUUGCUGCCUGCUGCAGAUCACCACCUUCAACUUCAUCUUCGUGCCAAUCGUCAUGGGCAUGACGUUUACCUUGUUCACCAUCAACGUGAGCACCGACAUGCGGCACCACCGCGUGCGCCUCGUGUUCCAGGACACCCCCGUCCGCAACGGGAAGAAGCCCCGCCUGGAGCAGGGGGUGCAGGUGGUGCUGGACCCCGUGCACAGCAUCAGGCUCCUGGAUUGGUGGCACCCACAGUACCCCUUCUCCCCGAAAGCUUAGUGCUCUCCCGAGGCUGCAGGAGCUGGCAGGUGACUGGAUCUGGCAGGCCGAAGAGAAUUUCUAGGAACCAGGAAAAUCCUAUUUUUAUUUCUUAAAUAAAUUCUGCAGUCCUCCCUUGCAA